rnacentral:rRNA from 1 species
AACGAACGCUGGCGGCAGGCUUAACACAUGCAAGUCGAACGCUCCGCAAGGGGAGUGGCAGACGGGUGAGUAACGCGUGGGAAUCUACCCAGAUCUUCGGAACAACUGAGGGAAACUUCAGCUAAUACCGGAUACGCCCUACGGGGGAAAGAUUUAUCGGUUCUGGAUGAGCCCGCGUAAGAUUAGCUAGUUGGUGGGGU